rnacentral:rRNA from 1 species
GACGAGCGCUGGCGGCGUGCUUAACACAUGCAAGUCGAACGGAAAGGCCCUGCUUUUGUGGGGUGCUCGAGUGGCGAACGGGUGAAUAACACGUGAGUAACCUGCCCUUGACUUUGGGAUAACUUCAGGAAACUGGGGCUAAUACCGGAUAGGAGCUCCUGCUGCAUGGUGGGGGUUGGAAAGUUUCGGCGGUUGGGGAUGGACUCGCGGCUUAUCAGCUUGUUGGUGGGGUAGUGGCUUACCAAGGCUUUGACGGGUAGCCGGCCUGAGAGGGUGACCGGCCACAUUGGGACUGAGAUACGGCCCAGACUCCUACGGGAGGCAGCAGUGGGGAAUAUUGCACAAUGGGCGGAAGCCUGAUGCAGCAACGCCGCGUGCGGGAUGACGGCCUUCGGGUUGUAAACCGCUUUCGCCUGUGACGAAGCGUGAGUGACGGUAAUGGGUAAAGAAGCACCGGCUAACUACGUG